CUGUAGAAUGAGCUGAAGAAGGAAAUAAAUGUCCAACCACUCCAGUAUACCAGGAAAACCUUUAAAUGAAUCAUAAAGAAUCGAACAUGACUGAAACAACUAAACAACAACAAACAUAAAUGAUAAGGUUGGUAAUGAAAAGUAGUUUUUAUCUUGGGGACAAAAAGGAUCACUCCCAAACAAUUCCCUGCCGAUCUUGAUCCUCAGAUACUACUCAGGUAUGAAAGCUUAUCUUAAUGGGUGCCAACUAUUCAUAGUGGAAAGAUCAUAUUUAGGCAGGAAGUUGCUAUUUCCCAAUCAAGGCAGUAGAGUAGCUAAGCAUCAUCUCACGAGAAAAGAUGGGAAAUUUGCUGUUAAUAAAGCUUUGCUUCAGAGUCACCAGAGCAGUGAACAGAUGUAGUAAACAGGCAGUUUUCCCUACUAGUUCAUCUUAAAGGUUAGUCACAAGAGAUACCAAUAAUGACAGAAAACUAAGGCUAUAAUUUCUAACAAGGAGAGAGUACAUGGGAAGUUUUGUAGUGAUAUGAAGAGAGAAGACUAUGUUUGUGUGUUUUCCGGUGCUAAGCAACAGCUAUAGAAUGAAUUGUUCCUUGAAAGAAUGGAAGAAAUGAGAAAGGAGAAAAUGAUUGGAAUAAAAUCUGAAGAGACAGAGGAGCUUAAUAAGCCAUGUCAAGAGGUUUAAGGGUGAAUAUGACACAAACAAUUAGAAGGAAAUGGAUCACCGAAUGUUUGGAACAGCAACACAAAGGAGAGAGCCUCCUAAGACUUAUCAAAACUAAAGGCCACUACCUACUCCUGGUGCUUUCUGUGAAGACUGUGAAGACUGAAGAUGUUCACCAACCUGAGUGACCUUGGAAGAGAUAAAGCCAUGGAGAGCAGGGAUAAGAGGAAGAACUACUCUUCUGGAUCUGAUUCUGAACAACAAGGAAAAACUGGUUGUUGAAGUAGAAGUAAUGGAAAUCUGAGAAUAGAGAAACCACUUUGUCUGUGAAUUUAUGAUUAAAAAGAGGAAAAGCCCUACAUGAAUUUCAGAUUCGUGUUCUUCAAGCAUGAACUUGUUUUCAUGUAUUUCAGUGGGUAAUAAUAAUAAUAAUAACUAGCAUUUGUAUAGAC
rnacentral:lncRNA from 1 species